UAGAGUAAAGCAUUUCCAUUGAUGCAAGAAACUGUUAUUUUCUAGAAUACACUCUAG
rnacentral:tRNA from 1 species